rnacentral:lncRNA from 1 species
CCUCAACCUCCCAAGUCACUGGGAUUACAGGUGUGCAUACCACUGUGCCCAGCUAGACAUGAAUUGCUUUGAAGCAGGCCAUUGAGCUUGGACAUAAAUAGUGUCUUGACUCCAGUUUCCUGCAGUAUUGUAUGUGGCUUAAAUGUAAAAUAAUGUGUGUAAAGCUGAAGCCACUUGUCAUUACUAACUACACAGUAAAUGAAUUAAAAUGAGCUUGUUUUCCUUGUUCUAGGUAGAAUUUCAACUAAAUUUUUCUUUAGGAACAAUGUUAUGAAUGGUGUUUUGAGUACAGUUUUAAAAACAUUGAUGAUGUUAAAUUUUAGAUCAAUUAUGAGUUAAGUAGGCUUUUACAGACUGGCGAGGGAGCUGCCUUUAUACUAGAGACAUACUGUCUCCAGUGUAGUGUCUCCAAGUGCCUUAUAAGAGUUCAUUGACUUGAGAUAUAGAAGUCACCUGUUAGAAUGUCAUGUCUCACCAGGUCAAGGACUGCUUGCAUAAACUUUCAUAUUGGACAUGUAAUGGAACUUCUUGAUAGGCAAUUGUGUUUUUUGGUAAACAAAGGAACCAACCCUUCUUUUCACUCACAGGAAUUAAACUCACCUUCUAAAACUUAACUGUUCCCACCAAUUCAACUAAGUGAU